rnacentral:rRNA from 1 species
UACGUAGGGUGCAAGCGUUGUCCGGAAUUAUUGGGCGUAAAGAGCUCGUAGGCGGUUCGUCGCGUCGGCUGUGAAAACCUGAGGCUCCAACCUCAGGCCUGCAGUCGAUACGGGCGGACUUGAGUACUGCAGGGGAGACUGGAAUUCCUGGUGUAGCGGUGAAAUGCGCAGAUAUCAGGAGGAACACCGGUGGCGAAGGCGGGUCUCUGGGCA